rnacentral:ncRNA from 1 species
UGAAAAGCGAUGACGGGCACAAGUAGCUUGCGUUCGCCGUAUUCAGAGAGCCGGUGUUUGCUGGGAACCGGUUGCGGACCGCAUGUUGAAUUACAGCCUCGAGCCGAAUGGUUGAACACGGCGCAACGCCGCAAGUAGGCCUUUCCGGAUGCGCCCGUUACGCGCAAUGAAGUGAAAGCGACCAUCCGCCCGCUGCCCUGCGGCACCGAACGUGCGGCGGACGCUUUAACGAGGGUGGUACCGCGGGCAAAAUCCUUCUCGUCCCUUGA